rnacentral:rRNA from 1 species
GAUGAACGCUGGCGGUGUGCCUAACACAUGCAAGUCGAGCGAACAGACGAGGAGCUCUUUCUCCUGCCGUUAGCGGCGGACGGGCGAGUAACAAGUGCAUCACCUUCUUCUUUGUCUUGGAUAAUUUCGGGAAACCGGUGCCACUGAUGCAUCAUACAACCUACCGCAUGGAUCAAUAGAGCUUCAGGGCUUUGCCGUUUGUUUUAGCUGGUUUCGCGCCGCAUUAGCUAGUUGGUAAGGUAACGGCUUACCAAGGCUACGAUGCGUAGCCGACCUGAGAGGGUGAUCAGCCACACUGGAACUGAGACACGGUCCAGACUCCUACGGGAGGCAGCAGUAGGGAAUCUUCCGCAAUGGGCGAAAGCCUGACGGAGCAACGCCGCGUGAGUGAUGAAGGUCUUCGGAUCGUAAAGCUCUGUUAUUAGGGAAGAACAGAUGUAUAAGUAACUAUGCACGUCUUGACGGUACCUAAUCAGAAAGCCACGGCUAACUACGUG